rnacentral:misc_RNA from 1 species
GAAAUGCGAUAAUUAAUGUGAAUUGCAGAAUUCAGUGAAUCAUCGAGUCUUUGAACGCACAUUGCGCCCCCUGGUAUUCCGGGGGGCAUGCCUGUCCGAGCGUCAUUGCUGCCCUCAAGCACGGCUUGUGUGUUGGGCUUCCGUCCCUGGCAACGGGGACGGGCCCAAAAGGCAGUGGCGGCACCAUGUCUGGUCCUCGAGCGUAUGGGGCUUAGUCACCCGCUCCCGUAGGUCCAGCUGGCAGCUAGCCUCGCAACCAAUCUUUUUAACCAGGUUGACCUCGGAUCAGGUAGGGAUACCCGCUGAACUUAAGC